GAUACUGGGUGUGUCUGGAGCCAAGCUGAGCACCAUGGACAUGUCAAUCACCCGCCUGUUGAGUAUCCACAUCCCCGCACUGCUCCCACCCACCUCCACUGACCUGGACGUACCGCACAACGUGCAGGUGGCGGCCAUGCUGGGCAUCGGCCUGGUCAACCAGGACACGGGCCACCGCCACAACGCAGAGGUGUGCUCGCCUGAGAUCGGUCGACUCCCCCUGGUCCUGAGAUGGAGUACUGCACAGACAGAGAGCCAUACUCCCUGGGCUGGCCCUGGGGAUGGUCUGGCUGGGGCAUGGCAGUAACCUGAUAGGUAUGACGGACUGAAUGUACCUGAACAGCUGUACAUGGUGGGAGGGCAUCGACGCACCCACACCAGCAUCAACAGAGAAAAACACAAGUCCCCCAGCUACCAGAUCAAGGCACAAAAACCAUGGUCUGACCGAAUAAACUGACCAGAGACUUGAGAAUGUCCCAAGUCUCAGGGUUUCUGGUCAUUGGCACACCAUCAAUGUGGACGUCACCAGUCCUGGAGCGACCCUGGCCAUGAUCUACCUGAAGACCAACAACAGGUCUAUCGUUGGGUGGCUGAAAGCUCCAGACACCAUGUUCCUCCUGGACUGUACUAUGGACACUGGCCAGGUAUAUCAUCAUGUGGGAUGAGAUUCUGCCCAACUCUGAGUUGGUGAGCAGCAAUGUGCCUCAGAUAAUCCAAGAGAAGAUUGGGAAUCCAGUGAUUUUGUAGGAUUUGAACAUGGAAACCUUAGUUUCUUAGCUCUCUCAGCAAGGCUGGAUAUACUGUAAGAUGACUCCUGUCCUCAGCCAAGCCCAUGACUACAUAAUCGCUGGAACCUGCAUGACUGUGGGAGAGAUGAACUAUGGCCCACCACAUGGCCCUGGACAUGCUCGUCCUGGGAAGAGAGAGUAAAAACAGGAACAUCCCACCCAGCCAGUUCGCUUUAUCCGUUGCCAUGGAGACUGGAUGAGUGUUUUAAGAAGAGGUAACACCUACAGGCCCUGCGUCACCUGAGUGUCCUGGCGGCGGCGCCUCGUCUGCUGGUUGCAGUCGCUGUGGACACACUGAAAUCCUGCUACACUCUGCUGGACGUCACAAACAAGGGGACUCUGUGUUAUGAGGAGACUACAGCAGAACUGAUGGCCACCACCAUGUUGCCUGAGCUGCAGCUUCUCAACGUGGUCAAAGGAAAUGUAGCCAUGCUGCAAAGUCAUUCUGCUAAGCAGGAUGGUCAAUGUUAAAAUGUCGAUUCUGUCCAGAGAUGGGUUUCUGUAUCUGAAGCUGCAUGCCCUAUAAGGACGACCCAUCGGGACUGGAAGAGUCUAUUAUCCCCCAACGUCAUCAACAGGAACUCAGAAGUCCACACAUUCAAGCCCGAGGCCAUCUCGACCUUCACCUCCGACACUGCCUUGGUCUCCUUCGCUGAUUACUUCCGUAAAGCUUCGGAGAGCAUGAAAUAGUAAACACGACACUUUGGCCUUAAUCUCUGCCAUUCGAUCUGAGUGUGUCACUCAGGAGAACCCUGAGAUGCUGCCCAACUACAUUGCUAUUGAUCAGGUGGUGUGGACCCUGGAAUAGACGGAGAUGUGAGAUGUUUGCUCUGUGACAGAUGAGACUGUUGUUGGAGCUGUGUGAGAACAGGGUCCUGCUGUUCAGACUGAGGGAGGGGCACAGGGCAGGGUCCUGCUGUUCAGACUGAGGGAGGGGCACAGGGCAGGGUCCUGCUGUUCAGACUGAGGGAGGGGCCACAGGGCAGGGUCCUGCUGUUCAGACUGAGGGAGGGGCCACAGGGCAGGGUCCUGCUGUUCAGACUGAGGGAGGGGCCACAGGGCAGGUGGCUGCCUGUCAUGAAGAACUCAGCCGAUUGCACCCUGGACUCACUGGAAGUACAUCGUUCCCUGAGCUCAUGUUGAUGUUCAGUCAGCUAGGCAUCCCUGUAAAAGCCUUGCUGUGCCUGGGUCCUCUGCUCCUGUGGACUGCAAGCUUCAGGACGGGACAACAGGCCUGUUGAAAUUUCCUGACCUCUAACCUUGGUCUCUGACUUUGCCCUGCCCUUGACCCAGAAAGGUCACGCUUCACUGCUUGUUGCAGCUCACAAGAAAUGGACCUGAUAUUAUAUGAAAUAUCAUUGUAAAGGCUUUCUUUAUACAGAUUGUAUGUAAAAUGUUUCUAAUGUAUUCCAUAUAUAAUAAUGCAGUAAAUAAUGUGAUUUGAGACUAGUGUAAGUGACUAGCUAGAAUUUAAAGGUAAAGUAUUAGCGAACAUGGUGGAUGUGGAUGACCAAUAACUUUCAGCAUUGCACAUGAUCACUAGGACCCACUUCCAUCUAUGUGUUAUAUUGGCCAGCUUUCUGUGUUAUUUAUUUUGGCCAACCAUGCGGUCUAGGCUGCCAUCUCCUUUAUCAUUAUCUCCGAAAGUAUGUUCUGCUCUCUCACAUAUUAACUCCGUCUCUGCGGUAUGUGUUGGGAGGUACUGUGUGGGCUGUGGCACAAUGGAAUGCAUUGGCCUGAGCUGUGAUCUAACACCUCCUCUGGGAACAUUCUACAGCAAAAUGGAAAACAUCCUGCAACAAAUACCACACCCACCUCACCCCAUACCAAGCAUAGUUGACUUCUAUUGGCCUUGUAUACCCAAAUAGCUCUGUGUCCUCAACAUGACCAUGAAUGGUUAUACAGGCCUUUAUCUGUGUCCCCCAUUGUAUACUGUCAGGCCCUAAAAGAACUGUCUUUAAGUUAACAUAGCUUUUUUUUGUGGCAUCUUUAGGAUCAACUGACAUGAAAGGCACACACAGAUGUGGCAGAUUGAUUGCAUACAUACCACAUUCACUGGAAUGCUGUCAUGUGGUUCAGUGAGAUUAGAGGUGCACACACAGAAAAGUAUUUGAUUAUGCGAAGAGGGAAACGUGUCAAAGUUAACUUAGGGAGGGGGAGUGGUGCAAUUCUAAUGUGUCUAACUAACUAAUUAUCUCUGGUUGUUUCUAUACAAUAUAAUUGAAUAGUGUUUUGGAACAUGCCUCCAGCCAAGUGAAGUGAGUAACAGUGCAAGUUCUCUGGGGAGGAAGCAACAAGUUCCCAUGCUGGCACAAAGAGGCAGUAAUACAUUUAUUUUUUUCUGAAGGAAGCAUGACACUGCCAUUUGGUUUGUUCUUCUAUGGACAUCCAGGAAAUGUGUGCAGGAUCCAGAACUUCACAUUCCAAAACUUCCAUUCAUGAUAUUUUACAGAUCAAUGGCCAACCGGAACUGUAGAGAGAGUGGGUGUAUUCAUAAGUUUAUGACCUUCAAAGCCAAUUCCUUUAAUAAGCUUGUGGGAACAAGCGCCCUGGGGACCAGGCUGUUUCCGCAAUAAAACAUUCUAUGUAUGUCAUACUGGUACACACCCUCUGGUCCUGGAGGUUCCCACGUCCUAAGUCAACAUUGAAACAAGACCAGUAUGUACAUUGAAAUAACACAAAACAAACAAAUCAAAAAUGCUUCUUGAUCCUUAAUGUUUUUUUUAUUUUUAUUUUCAUUAAAACAAUUAUUGUAUGCAGAAAGAGAACAAAUGUCCUGUUUAUAAAUACAUGUUUAUUGAUUAAAGUUGUCUUAGUGCAUACAUAUGUAUAUAUCCUUACAUCUGUGCACAAACAGA